GCUUGUCUCAAAGAUUAAGCCAUGCAUGUCUAAGUAUAAACAACUUUAUACUGUGAAACUGCGAACGGCUCAUUAUAUCAGCAAUAAUUUAUUUGAUGGUUUCUUACUACAUGGAUAACUGUAGUAAUUCUAGAGCUAAUACAUGCGUAAAGUCCCGACUCUUGCGGGGAGGGAUGUAUUUAUUAGAUGGAAACCAAUGCGGGGUAACCCGGAAUAUGGUGAUUCAUAAUAACUUUCGGAUCGAUUUAUCGAUGCAUCAUUCAAGUUUCUGCCCUAUCAGCUUUGGAUGGUAGGGUAUUGGCCUACCAUGGCUUUAACGGGUAACGG
rnacentral:rRNA from 1 species